CCUACGGGUGGCUGCAGGCGCGAAAACUUUACAAUGCUGGCAACAGCGAUAAGGGAGCCUCGAGUGCCAGGUUACAAAUCUGGCUGUCGAGAUGCCUAAAAAGCAUUUCAUAGCAAGGGCCGGGCAGGACCGGUGCCAGCCGCCGCGGUAACACCGGCGGCUCGAGUGGUAACCGUUAUUAUUGGGUCUAAAGGGUCUGUAGCCGGCCGGAUAAGUCUCUUGAGAAAUCUGGCAGCUUAACUGUCAGGCUUUCAGGAGAUACUGUCUGGCUCGAGGCCGGGAGAGGUGAGAGGUACUUCAGGGGUAGGGGUGAAAUCUUGUAAUCCUUGAAGGACCACCAGUGGCGAAGGCGUCUCACCAGAACGGACCUGACGGCAAGGGACGAAAGCUAGGGGCACGAACCGGAUUAGAUACCCGAGUAGUC
rnacentral:rRNA from 1 species